rnacentral:rRNA from 1 species
AGAGUUUGAUCCUGGCUCAGGAUUAACGCUAGCGACAGGCUUAACACAUGCAAGUCGAGGGGCAGCACAGGUAGCAAUACCGGGUGGCGACCGGCGCACGGGUGAGUAACGCGUAUGCAACUUGCCUAUCAGAGGGGGAUAACCCGGCGAAAGUCGGACUAAUACCGCAUGAAGCAGGGAUCCCGCAUGGGAAUAUUUGCUAAAGAUUCAUCGCUGAUAGAUAGGCAUGCGUUCCAUUAGGCAGUUGGCGGGGUAACGGCCCACCAAACCGACGAUGGAUAGGGGUUCUGAGAGGAAGGUCCCCCACAUUGGUACUGAGACACGGACCAAACUCCUACGGGAGGCAGCAGUGAGGAAUAUUGGUCAAUGGCCGAGAGGCUGAACCAGCCAAGUCGCGUGAGGGAUGAAGGUUCUAUGGAUCGUAAACCUCUUUUAUAAGGGAAUAAAGUGCGGGACGUGUCCCGUUUUGUAUGUACCUUAUGAAUAAGGAUCGGCUAACUCUGUGCCAGCAGCCGCGGUAAUACGGAGGAUCCGAGCGUUAUCCGGAUUUAUUGGGUUUAAAGGGUGCGUAGGCGGCCUUUUAAGUCAGCGGUGAAAGUCUGUGGCUCAACCAUAGAAUUGCCGUUGAAACUGGGGGGCUUGAGUAUGUUUGAGGCAGGCGGAAUGCGUGGUGUAGCGGUGAAAUGCAUAGAUAUCACGCAGAACCCCGAUUGCGAAGGCAGCCUGCCAAGCCAUUACUGACGCUGAUGCACGAAAGCGUGGGGAUCAAACAGGAUUAGAUACCCUGGUAGUCCACGCAGUAAACGAUGAUCACUAGCUGUUUGCGAUACACUGUAAGUGGCACAGCGAAAGCGUUAAGUGAUCCACCUGGGGAGUACGCCGGCAACGGUGAAACCCAAAGGAAUUGACGGGGGCCCGCACAAGCGGAGGAACAUGUGGUUUAAUUCGACGAUACGCGAGGAACCUUACCCGGGUUUGAACGCAUUCGGACCGAGGUGGAAACACCUUUUCUAGCAAUAGCCGUUUGCGAGGUGCUGCAUGGUUGUCGUCAGCUCGUGCCGUGAGGUGUCGGCUUAAGUGCCAUAACGAGCGCAACCCUUGCCACUAGUUACUAACAGGUAAAGCUGAGGACUCUGGUGGGACUGCCAGCGUAAGCUGCGAGGAAGGCGGGGAUGACGUCAAAUCAGCACGGCCCUUACAUCCGGGGCGACACACGUGUUGCAAUGGCGUGGACAAAGGGAAGCCACCUGGCGACAGGGAGCGAAUCCCCAAACCACGUCUCAGUUCGGAUCGGAGUCUGCAACCCGACUCCGUGAAGCUGGAUUCGCUAGUAAUCGCGCAUCAGCCAUGGCGCGGUGAAUACGUUCCCGGGCCUUGUACACACCGCCCGUCAAGCCAUGGGAGCCGGGGGUACCUGAAGUCCGUAACCGCGAGGAUCGGCCUAGGGUAAAACUGGUGACUGGGGCUAAGUCGUAACAAGGUA